AUUUGGCCAAUUCAAUUCUGUUUUUUUAUUUAAAUUUCUCUGCAGUGGAUUUUUGUCCUUCUUUUACCAUUUAAUCUAUUUUGUUUUUGUAAGAUAUUUUUUUUAGUUUAUUUUUGUGUCUUCUUUAAUAAGCUGCAAACUUUUUAAUGAUAUUUCGGCAUUCCUCUAAUUCCCCCCCCAAAAAAAUUUUUUUUCCUCUACUCUCUUAUAUGAUUUUAAAAAUUCCAGUUGAGCUCUUUCAGAGAUUUGUUUUUUUGGUCCUGAGACCAAAUCAUAUUUUCUUUGGGGCUUUGGAUUUUGCAGCUUUGACUUUGUUAUAUUCUUUUGAGAUUGUGUUUUGUCCCCUAAUAACUUUCUAUGAUGUUUCUUUUUUGUUCAUUUCCCUAGUCCUUUUCUUGAUUUUAAUUUAAAAAAAAACUAUUAAAGUUGGACUUUGUUCCUAUAGCGGAGAGAACAGUGUACCAAGUUUCAGGGUUUUUAUGCAGCUGCUUUUGAAACUAAUUCUGGAGAUCUAUAAAUUUUUGGUUCUUCCUUGAUGGUAUGAUCUAUGGAGAAGUAUGAUUACUACUCUCCUGUCAUGUGCUCUGAUCUGUGAGUGAGAACAAGCUCUAUUUUCUACACUAGAAUUUUAACCAGGAAUGCAAACACAUGUAUGGUAACAUUCCUCCUCAUCCUAGGGGACUAUAACCUAGGACUGAAACCAAGAUCUGCUUAUGAGAAAUGUAACAGAAUACUGUGCCAGGAAAGGGACUGUGUAAUAAUCUUCUGACCAGUUCUCUGACUCCAUUAACUUAAGUGAGCUGAGAGCUCUGGAAAUCUUACUGCCUAUUUAGCUGUCCCCAAGAUCUGCUCUGACUUGCCAAGUGAGGGACUUUUCCUGGCACAUUGAUUUGCACUCCAUUUCCAGUUUUUUGUAACAGAUCUUUCCACCUGACAUUCUAAGUUAUCUUGGAAUAAAAAAUUGUUUCAUGACAUCUUUUUGGGAGUUUUGCCACUCCAGAAUUUGUUUUUCAGCAUUAUUUUAAAGUUUUUUUGGAGGGGAAAUUGGUAGAUAUCAGAUUUUCCCUGACAUCUUGACUCCGCUCUUCAUCUCCAAUUUCUAUUUGCAGAGCAGUUGAUAUUCCCGGUGAACUAGGGGCUAUUAUUCCCAGAAUACAUGAAGAACCAAAGGCUGAGAAAGAAUCUCUGAAAUUACUGUCAUUUGAGAAAACAAUUUCAUCAAAAGAAAGUAUUGUGCACAGCCUACCAAAUCCAAAACUAUCUGUGAUCUCCACAAUUAAGUCCAAGCUUUUUAAGGCACUGAAGAAAGGAAUUUUUCCCCCUUAAAGAGAGGGCUAUAAUACAAAACAAUGAAGAAAAAAAAACCCAGAGGAUGAACAGUUAUAUUCAAUCAAGACGUAUCUCUUACCAUCUCUGUAAAGACUGCAUCUUCCAAUAGGCAGAUGCAAUAAUAGCUUUUUUUUUUACCCUCCUUCAAUUUUCUACUUAUCAGCUUUGUAGAUGAAAAGCUUCCUUACUAAACAAAAUUUUGAAUAAAAGCCUUAACUUAA